AUCGUAACUCCUACGGGAGGCAGCAGUGGGGAAUUUUGGACAAUGGGGGCAACCCUGAUCCAGCAAUGCCGCGUGAGUGAAGAAGGCCUUCGGGUUGUAAAGCUCUUUUGUCUGGGAAGAAACGGUAGUAGCUAAUAUCUAUUACUAAUGACGGUACCUGAAGAAUAAGCACCGGCUAACUACGUGCCAGCAGCCGCGGUAAUACGUAGGGUGCAAGCGUUAAUCGGAAUUACUGGGCGUAAAGCGUGCACAGGCGGUUGUGUAAGUCAGAUGUGAAAUCCCCGGGCUCAACCUGGGAAUUGCAUUGGAGACGGCACGGCUAGAGUGUGUCAGAGGGGGGUAGAAUUCCAGGUGUAGCAGUGAAAUGCGUAGAUAUGUGGAGGAAUACCGAUGGCGAAGGCAGCCCCCUGGGAUAACACUGACGCUCAUGCACGAAAGCGUGGGGAGCAAACAGGAUUAAAUACCCCUGUAGUCCUAGAGC
rnacentral:rRNA from 1 species